rnacentral:rRNA from 1 species
AGAGUUUGAUCCUGGCUCAGAUUGAACGCUGGCGGAAUGCUUUACACAUGCAAGUCGAGCGGCAGCGCGAGGCAACCUGGCGGCGAGCGGCGAACGGGUGAGUAAUGCAUCGGAACAUGUCCAUGUCGUGGGGGAUAGCCCGGCGAAAGCCGGAUUAAUACCGCAUAAGCCCGAGAGGGGAAAGUGGGGGACCGCAAGGCCUCACGCGAUUGGGUUGGCCGAUGUCCGAUUAGCUUGUUGGUGAGGUAAAGGCUUACCAAGGCGAUGAUCGGUAGCUGGUCUGAGAGGAUGAUCAGCCACACUGGGACUGAGACACGGCCCAGACUCCUACGGGAGGCAGCAGUGGGGAAUUUUGGACAAUGGGGGCAACCCUGAUCCAGCCAUUCCGCGUGAGUGAAGAAGGCCUUCGGGUUGUAAAGCUCUUUUGUCCGGAGCGAAACGGUUACGGUGAAUAUCCGUGACUACUGACGGUACCGGAAGAAUAAGCACCGGCUAACUACGUGCCAGCAGCCGCGGUAAUACGUAGGGUGCGAGCGUUAAUCGGAAUUACUGGGCGUAAAGCGUGCGCAGGCGGUUUUGUAAGCCAGAUGUGAAAUCCCCGGGCUUAACCUGGGAAUGGCAUUUGGGACUGCAAGGCUGGAGUAUGGCAGAGGGGACUAGAAUUCCUGGUGUAGCAGUGAAAUGCGUAGAUAUCAGGAGGAAUACCGAUGGCGAAGGCAGGUCCCUGGGCUAUACUGACGCUCAUGCACGAAAGCGUGGGGAGCAAACAGGAUUAGAUACCCUGGUAGUCCACGCCCUAAACGAUGUCGACUGGUUGUUGGGGGUUUGACACUCUCAGUAACGAAGCUAACGCGUGAAGUCGACCGCCUGGGGAGUACGGCCGCAAGGUUAAAACUCAAAGGAAUUGACGGGGACCCGCACAAGCGGUGGAUUAUGUGGAUUAAUUCGAUGCAACGCGAAAAACCUUACCUACCCUUGACAUGUCCUGAAGCCUGGAGAGAUCCGGGUGUGCCCGAAAGGGAACGGGAACACAGGUGCUGCAUGGCUGUCGUCAGCUCGUGUCGUGAGAUGUUGGGUUAAGUCCCGCAACGAGCGCAACCCUUGUCAUUAGUUGCUACAUUUAGUUGGGCACUCUAAUGAGACUGCCGGUGACAAACCGGAGGAAGGUGGGGAUGACGUCAAGUCCUCAUGGCCCUUAUGGGUAGGGCUUCACACGUAAUACAAUGGCGCGUACAGAGGGUUGCCAAGCCGCGAGGUGGAGCCAAUCCCAGAAAGCGCGUCGUAGUCCGGAUCGCAGUCUGCAACUCGACUGCGUGAAGUCGGAAUCGCUAGUAAUCGCGGAUCAGCAUGUCGCGGUGAAUACGUUCCCGGGUCUUGUACACACCGCCCGUCACACCAUGGGAGCGGGUUUCACCAGAAGCCGGUCGCCUAACCGCAAGGGGGGCGCCGACCACGGUGAGAUUCGUGACUGGGGUGAAGUCGUAACAAGGUA